CAGUGGCUCACUGCAAGCUCCGCCUCCUGGGUCCACGCCAUUCUCCUGCCUCAGCCUCCUGAGUAGCUGAGAGGACAGGCGCCUGCCACCACGCACGGCUAAUUUUUUUUUGUAUUUUUAGUAGAGGCGGGGUUUCACCAUGUUAGCCAGGGUGGUCUCGAUCUCCCGACCUCGUGAUCUGCCCGCCUCGGCCUCCCAAAGUGCUGGGAUUACAGGCAUGAACCACCGCCCCUGGCCAAGGAUGAAGAGAUUCUUCUAAUGCUUCGGGUUUUUACAUAAAAAGUGAGGCUUACUGAUGGUAUCUACCUCACCGAGUUAGUGUGAAGAUUAAAUUAGUCCAAACAGUUGAAUGACUAAGACUCGGAAAAAGUGGAGAGCAGGGAAGUUCAGGAGACCUAGAGGAAAAGAGAACAAUUUUCUCUCUAUGAUACUACAAUCAAUAUGGAUCAUCUGUCUCUCCUUUUGAGAUUGCAACUUUCCAGAAGAGAGAAUCUGACUGUUCCAAUCAAGUCAGCUUUUCACUCCAGGAUAAAACUGCUAUGGCCAGAGCCUGCAGACAUAUACAACUAAAGAGGAUAGUAUGCUAUCAACAGACAAAUGAUGAAGAAAAAUAGAAAAUCCUCUCCUGAGAAGACAUUACCUGCAUGGUUCUCAAGUGGAGGUGAAACUUUACAAAACGAUAAGAAAAGUAGAAGACACUUUAUUGAUAAAAUAUCCACAUUCGAAAAUAGUUGUGCUUUCAAAUCCUGGAUCUGCCAUUUACUAUCUGUGAGACUGAGACUGUGUGCAAAUGGUUUAGCCAUUUUGAACCUGUUUCCUCAUCUGUAAAAUGGGCAUGAUGAUACCUACCUACCUUACAAAGUGGCUGAGAUAGCUAAACACCAUAAGGCAAUGCUUGUUACAUGGUAACAAAUGAUGACUUUCAUUUUAUUGGGUAUUCUCAUUUUAUUGGGUAUUUCAUUUUAUUGGGUAUUCUUCCAUUCUAUUGGGUAUUUAAUCCUCGCCUCAUUCAUCAUCACCAGAAACAUUGAAAAUAUUGUCUUUCUUUUUACAUGUGAAAAAAAUUGAGUAUCAGAGAGUUCAAGAAACUUGCCUAAAUUAUACAUCAUGAAAAAUGAAAGGAUCAGAUUUGAACCCAGUCAUUGAUAGAAGUGGGGGGAAGAAAAAAUGAGAAAAUUUAAGGGGAAAGUAUAAAAUUCAGUGCUUCCGCAAGUUUCAAUAAAUAAAGAUCAUCUUGCUGCAGACAGUCAGUCCACCACUAAAACAUCUCUAGAUAUGCAUUUUGAUAGAAUUGCUGGAUAAUUCUGAUAGUUGCUCAUCAUUCAGGACUUACUCCACAAGACAUGAUUUUAAAUGAUUAAGUGCUUUGCCCAAUGUCUCAUAGAUGGUAAGUGGCUGAGGUGCAAUUCAGCUCUAGAGUCAUAUUCAUAACUACUACACUCUAGCAGCUUGUCUGAGACAGAUGGUUUUGCACCACACCUUGGGAAACAUCACGAUAAAUGACUACAGAAUGUGGAGGCUCAGAGACUAUGUCUGCUAUCAGGAGUGUGGUACCAGGCAGAACCUUUCUAAAUCACCAGGCAGAACCUUUCUAAAAUUUACAAAAUAGUUAGAUGUAAUCAAUGAAGCCAAAAACAUAAAUUAAUACCAGACACACCAUGCCCAAUAAAUAUUUGUUGAAUAAAUAUGUUUUUAUGAAACCAACAGCAAGUUUUUCAUCUUAGAUAAAAUGUUCAUUUAGCCACAGAAUCUUUGAAGCUCAGAAUUAGAAUAAAGUCACUACGACCAAUCCCUAGUUCCCUGUGAAUUCCACAGUUUCUUGCACAAUAUUUCAGGCCUGUGGUCAGCCAGUUAAACAAACUGUAGUCUCUGGCUUGUAGUUAGGAAAUAAGAGAAAAGACCAAAAACCUGACCUAUAGAGAACUAAGAGAGCUUAAAACGCCAGAACCAAAUAGACUCCUGAUUCUAGGCAGGUAUUUGAUGGGUCAGAGAGAGAGAAAUAAAUACUGCAGUAAUGAUGGCUACAAUCUCAGAAGUGAUUCUCCAGCAGCAAAAAGAUGUUUGUGGACAUAUGGGGCCAGUAUGAACCUAUUGAUUUCUCUCAUAAUCUCUUUUUAUUGCUCAUCUUUUCCUGUUAGCUCAUGCAGCCAGUGUCUCAGGGACUGCAGUUCCUCCUGGGCCUGCCAGCCUGAUCGUUGUUGAGGAACCACGAAAUAUGAAGGUCCACGUCCCCUUUAAUUGAACAAGUCCCAGUUAAUAAUGCACUAGAGAUCCUGAGAGUUGGGGCAUGCAGGAAGGAAGAGAGAAAGGCAAAAUGAGAGAGAGAGAAAAAAGAAAGAAUCCACAAAUGUCUUCCUCAUUGAGAAAGGGAAAAAGAAACUGAAAAAAAAAAAAGUCACUGUAACAAAUUCAGUCCAGGCAACAUUGGUAAUAGAUAAGACAGGAGACUACUCUUCAUUUGGCUAGCAAAUAAGCUUUUCUACUCUUCUGAGAUAGAGAUUCUCUGAUCUCAGGGAUUGCUGGAGAGAUUGCUAAUAUUUACAGUCUACUUGAUGUCCACUUGGUAGAAAAAGCAGUCUUAUACUAUAGUCAUUAAGUUACAGAAUUUGUUGCUAGAUUUCUUAUGAAAUCCAGUCACCUCCCUUUCAGUCCAGAACUUCUUUUGCUAUACCACACUAAGGUACUGAUUUAAGAUCAGUCCAUACAAUAAAAGAGCCAUAAUCUCCAGAGAAUCUUUCUUGAGAGUUAAGCUUAUUCCCAGCUUAAAAUAAACAGAGAAAUGUCAAUCAUAAUUUAUGAUGGAAAUAUCAGAUAGUUAAGUGGCAUAUAAUGCCCCUUGUUAAAAAUAAAUAGGGCACAGCGGUGCAGACCUGUAAUCCCAGCUACUCAAGGAUUGCUUGAGCCCAGGAGUUCAAGGCCAUCCUGGGCAACAACGCAAGACCCUGUUCCUAAAAAAAUAAAAUAAAAAUGAAUAAGCCAAAAGCAGUAUUUAUAAAAUGUAUUUAUUCAGCUAUUUAACAAAUAGUGCACAUUUAUUCAUUACAUAUAUAAAAGAAGUGUUCUGGAUGUGCAGAAUUCAGUGAUGACUAAAGUGAGCACAUUUCCUGCCAUUAAUUAGUCAGCAUUUAAUCUAGCCAGGUAGAGAGUUUAUGCAGACACAUACAAUACCAGGGCAUAAGUGUUAUGAAAGAGCAAGAAUAUCAAGUUUGUGGACCACAGAAAGGAAUAUCUCAGCCAAACAUGGAGACAAUUAAGGUUUUCUGGAGGCAGUGUUUCCUAAGUUAUAACCAUGAGUUAGUCAGACAAAGAGAGUGUGGAAAAGCAUUCAAAGCACAAGGAACAACAUAAACACAGACUAUGGCAUAUUUAAGAAAGUACAAAAUAAGACCAAAUCAUUCAAGUUGUAGUAUAUGAUACUAUGAUAAAAACUUUGAGAGAAGUAGAGUAGUAGCCAGAGAUGAGAACAUGGAAUUCCUUACAAGUCCUAUACAGUAUCAUCUUUAUAACAACAGAAUUAAAGGACUCUUGCAGAUUAUUAGAGCUUAAUUUUUGUAUUGUGUGACACUCCCCCAAGUUGCUCAAUGUUUCAGAACUUUUAGUUACUGUUUUGCAUUCUGAUUUGAACUCCUUCACUGAAAUUUCUUCCUCUGUGUUUUAGGUUAUCACAGAACGCACAAAACUGACAUACUUCUUUAUUCAUACCUUAACAUCUUCUAUAAAUCUGACUCCACUUUAUUUCCCUGGUGGAACUUCUGUUACUCUUUCCCUGAGAAGUCAGGAUGUGUUACCUUCCUGCCAAUGUUGUAUGACAAUAUGCUUGGAGGACUGCCAAAAACGGAAGCUCACUAAGGCUCCUUGUUCAGAAUUUUGACUGGGACUGCAUGAUGUAGAUAGGAUUGACUGAUUGAUUGCCCAUGUGGUUGAUCUCAGUCUACAGGUUGACUGAUAGUGCAUGAUCCAAAGCCCUCACCUCAGGUAACAUUAUUGGUUUUCCUGGCAUGACUAGCCCCAGCCCUAAAUUCUGGCCAGGCCUCACCCUAAAUCGUAUUGUUAGACCAUUUAGUGUAACCCACAGCCACCAUGCAAAGAAAGAAACUCUUUUUAGGCAUGGCAUUCUUAGAGAUUACCUUCCAGAAGCUCAAGUUAAAGUGCUUCCUAAACAUUUGACUUACCUUUAUCUGUGAGAAUGCCUCAGGACUGUUUCCCUCUUGAAUGUGCAACUCUACCUAUUUUGAAUGGCAAACGCCCAGUUACAGAAUCUUCAACUGCGCCGAAGGACAGCUAAAAUACUGCCUGAAAGAACAAUGGCCAAGGCCGGGCGCGGCGGCUCACGCCUGCGAUCCCAGCACUUUGGGAGGCGGAGGCGGG
rnacentral:lncRNA from 1 species